GCGAAUUGAGAAAUGGUGGUGUCAGCUGAAACUGACCAGGCUGCAAGAUGUUGGGUAGUGAAUGAGGAGAGGAGAAAUCAUCCCUUCAGAGGAAGUGAACAGAUGAGGGCCCAAUGUCAUCACAAGGGUCGUUUUAAGGAGACAGUAGGAUCCAAAUAAGAGAGGAAGAUAUGACAAAAGCAGCGAUUGGAGUGAUACAUGGCCAUACGACAAGGAAUGUGAGUGGCCUCUAGAGGCUGGAAAAAGCAAGGAAAUGGACUCAUUCCCUAGAGUCUUCAGAAUGAACACAGUCCUGGAGACACCUUGAUUUCAGUCCAGUGAUAGAUUUCUGAACUCCAGAAUGUUAAAAUAAUAAACUUGUAUUGUUUAAGCCACUAA